rnacentral:rRNA from 1 species
UGGGGAAUAUUGGACAAUGGGCGCAAGCCUGAUCCAGCCAUGCCGCGUGGAUGAUGAAGGCCCUAGGGUUGUAAAGUCCUUUCGACGGGGAAGAUUAUGACGGUACCUGCAGAAGCAGCUGCGGUUAACUACGUGCCAGCAGCCGCGGUAAUACGUAGGCAGCAAGCGUUGUUCGGAGUUACUGGGCGUAAAGGGUGCGUAGGCGGUCUUUUAAGUUUGGUGUGAAAUCUCCCGGCUCAACCGGGAGGGUGCGCCGAAUACUGAGAGGCUAGAGUGUGGGGGAGGAAAGUGGAAUUCCUGGUGUAGCGGUGAAAUGCGUAGGUAUCAGGAGGAACACCGGUGGUGUAAACGGCCUUCUGGACCAUAACUGACGCUGAAGCACGAAAGCGUGGGUAGCAAACAGGAUUAGAUACCCUGGUAGUCCACGCCCUAAACGAUGCAUAUUUGGUGUGGGCCAUUCAUUUGGUCUGUGCCGGAGCUAACGCGUUAAAUAUGCCGCCUGGGGAGUACAGUCGCAAGGCUG